AUUUAAAUAGUUUAAUAAAAAUAUUGAUUUGUGGUGUCAAAGAUAAGAUUUAAAUCUUUUUAAAUU
rnacentral:tRNA from 1 species